rnacentral:rRNA from 1 species
UACGUAGGGCGCAAGCGUUGUCCGGAAUUAUUGGGCGUAAAGAGCUUGUAGGCGGUUUGUCGCGUCUGCUGUGAAAUUUCGGGGCUCAACCCCGAACUUGCAGUGGGUACGGGCAGACUAGAGUGUGGUAGGGGAGACUGGAAUUCCUGGUGUAGCGGUGAAAUGCGCAGAUAUCAGGAGGAACACCGAUGGCGAAAGCGGCGCGCUGGACCUCUCUGACGCUGAGGCGCGAAGCUAGGGAGCAAACGGG